rnacentral:misc_RNA from 1 species
AACGCACAUUGCGCCCUGUGGUAUUCCGCAGGGCAUGCCUGUUCGAGCGUCAUUUCAACCCUCAAGCUCUGCUUGGUGUUGGGCCCCGCCCCCGUGGCCGGCCCCAAAGUCAGUGGCGGCGCCGUCCGGCUCUAAGCGUAGUACACCUCUCGCUCUAGGGUCCUGCGGUGGCCUGCCAGAACCCCAACUUCUAUGGUUGACCUCGGAUCAGGUAGGGAUACCCGCUGAACUUAA